GCCUAUGUGCUGAGUGGUUAGAGCAUUGGCCUGUGCAUCUAAGGAUGAUGGGUUUGAUUCCCAAUCAAGGGCA
rnacentral:tRNA from 1 species